rnacentral:rRNA from 1 species
UACAGAGGGGGCAAGCGUUGUUCGGAAUUACUGGGCGUAAAGGGCGCGUAGGCGGCCUGCUAAGUCGAACGUGAAAUCCCUGGGCUCAACCCAGGAACUGCGUCCGAUACUGGCAGGCUUGAAUUCGGGAGAGGGAUGCGGAAUUCCAGGUGUAGCGGUGAAAUGCGUAGAUAUCUGGAGGAACACCGGUGGCGAAGGCGGCAUCCUGGACCGAUAUUGACGCUGAGGCGCGAAAGCCAGGGGAGCAAACGGG